AGGUUGCUAAUAAAAUUUUAGCUGAUGACCCCAAGGAGGUGAAGGCUUGGCAGUGCAAGAUUGUGGCUCUCAUCCACCUCGACCAAUUCUCUGAUGCUCUCAACAUCGCUAACAAGUCAAAGUUGACAGAACAGCUGGCGUUUGAGAAGGCAUAUUGUCAGUACCGGCUGAACCAAGUGUCAGAGGCCUAUGACACCAUCUGCAAGGCUGCUGAUGUGACACCUCGCGUCCAGGAGCUCCAGGCACAGAUCCUUUAUCGUCUGGAGAGGUACAGCGAGUGUUUUAUGAUGUGUACCGUGAAAUUAUUCGCACUACUAGUGAUGACUAUGAUGUGGAGCGUGAGACCAACCUGACAGCCGUAGCUGUCAAUUGUGCAUUAGAUGGAACC